UUAAGUCCCGCAACGAGCGCAACCCUCGACCUUAGUUGCCAGCAUUCAUUGGGGCACUCUAAGGUGACUGCCGGCUAAAAAGUCGGAGGAAGGUGGGGAUGACGUCAAAUCAUCAUGCCCCUUAUGACCUGGGCUACACACGUGCUACAAUGGGCGGUACAAAGGGUCGCGAACCCGCGAGGGGGAGCCAAUCCCAAAAAGCCGCUCUCAGUUCGGAUUGCAGGCUGCAACUCGCCUGCAUGAAGCCCGGAAUCGCUAGUAAUCGCGGAUCAGCAUGCCCGCGGUCGAAUACGUCCGGGCCUU
rnacentral:rRNA from 1 species